rnacentral:rRNA from 1 species
GAUGAACGCUAGCUACAGGCUUAACACAUGCAAGUCGCGGGGCAGCAUGGGGGUUGCUUGCAACCCCUGAUGGCGACCGGCGCACGGGUGAGUAACGCGUAUCCAACCUGCCCUUCACCACGGGAUAACCCGGCGAAAGUCGGACUAAUACCGUAUGUUGUCCAUUGACGGCAUCCGAUUUGGACGAAAGGCUUAGCGGUGAGGGAUGGGGAUGCGUCCGAUUAGCUUGACGGCGGGGUAACGGCCCACCGUGGCAACGAUCGGUAGGGGUUCUGAGAGGAAGGUCCCCCACACUGGAGCUGAGACACGGUCCAGACUCCUACGGGAGGCAGCAGUGAGGAAUAUUGGUCAAUGGGCGGAAGCCUGAACCAGCCAAGUAGCGUGCAGGAUGACGGCCCUAUGGGUUGUAAACUGCUUUUAUGCGGGGAUAAAAGAAUUCACGUGUGGAUUUUUGCAGGUACCGCAUGAAUAAGGACCGGCUAAUUCCGUGCCAGCAGCCGCGGUAAUACGGAAGGUCCGGGCGUUAUCCGGAUUUAUUGGGUUUAAAGGGAGCGUAGGCCGCCCCUUAAGCGUGUUGUGAAAUGCGGGUGCUCAACAUCCGACUUGCAGCGCGAACUGGGGGGCUUGAGUGCGCCGAAAGUAGGCGGAAUUCGUGGUGUAGCGGUGAAAUGCUUAGAUAUCACGAAGAACUCCGAUUGCGAAGGCAGCUUACUGUAGCGCAACUGACGCUGAUGCUCGAAAGCGUGGGUAUCGAACAGG